GACGAACGCUGGCGGCGCGCCUAACACAUGCAAGUCGAACGGAAUCAAGAGGAGCUUGCUUUUCUUGAUUUAGUGGCGAACGGGUGAGUAACGCGUGAGUAACCUGCCCUGGAGUGGGGGACAACAGUUGGAAACGACUGCUAAUACCGCAUAAGCCCACGGUACCGCAUGGUACUGAGGGAAAAGGAUUUAUUCGCUCUAGGAUGGACUCGCGUCCAAUUAGCUAGUUGGUGAGGUAACGGCCCACCAAGGCGACGAUUGGUAGCCGGACUGAGAGGUUGAACGGCCACAUUGGGACUGAGACACGGCCCAGACUCCUACGGGAGGCAGCAGUGGGGGAUAUUGCACAAUGGGGGAAACCCUGAUGCAGCGACGCCGCGUGGAGGAAGAAGGUUUUCGGAUUGUAAACUCCUGUCGUUAGGGACGAUAAUGACGGUACCUAACAAGAAAGCACCGGCUAACUACGUGCCAGCAGCCGCCGUAAUAC
rnacentral:rRNA from 1 species